AAGACUUCUAUAAUAUGUCGUCACUUUGUAGUAAACUAUGGACGGGUGGAUUUUCUCUAUUGGAGUAUAAUAGCCUAUAGGGAUUUAAAAUAAUCCUACCUACCAAACACUGACAGCAACGAAGUAGCCUACUCUGAAAUGCUCACGUUUUGACCUCCAUACUUUGUCAUCUGCCUUGGAGUGGAUCCUGUGAUCUUCGAUGCUGUUAGGAGGGACGACUGGAAGUCGGCACAGCACGUGUCAAUUUUGAGUCAGAUCAGAAGCACUGCUGCUGGUGGCAACUAUGACACGACGUGCAAUCUCAUCUCACUCAAUUAUCACACAGUGGAUAACGAGUUUGUAGGUCUGUAGUUCACCACUGAAAUGUAAUUGGAAAAUUUGAAAUGCAAUUAAACUUCUCCACUCCGCUUGUA